rnacentral:rRNA from 1 species
AUUGAACGCUGGCGGCAUGCCUUACACAUGCAAGUCGAACGGCAGCGGACUUUCGGGUGCCGGCGAGUGGCGAACGGGUGAGUAAUAUAUCGGAACGUACCUUUCAGUGGGGGAGUAACGUAGCGAAAGUUACGCUAAUACCGCAUAUUCUGUGAGCAGGAAAGCAGGGGAGUCGCAAGACCUUGCGCUGAUUGAGCGGCCGAUAUCAGAUUAGCUAGUUGGUGAGGUAAAGGCUCACCAAGGCGACGAUCUGUAGCGGGUCUGAGAGGAUGAUCCGCCACACUGGAACUGAGACACGGUCCAGACUCCUACGGGAGGCAGCAGUGGGGAAUUUUGGACAAUGGGCGCAAGCCUGAUCCAGCCAUGCCGCGUGAGUGAAGAAGGCCUCGGUUG